UACGGGGGGGGCAAGCGUUGUUCGGAAUUACUGGGCGUAAAGGGCCAGUAGGCGGCCAACUAAGUCAGACGUGAAAUCCCUCGGCUUAACCGGGGAACUGCAUCUGAUACUGGAUGGCUUGAGAUUGGGAGAGGGAUGCGGAAUUCCAGGUGUAGCGGUGAAAUGCGUAGAUAUCUGGAGGAACACCGGUGGCGAAGGCGGCGUCCUGGACCAACACUGACACUGAUGAGCGAAAGCCAGGGGAGCAAACGGG
rnacentral:rRNA from 1 species